rnacentral:rRNA from 1 species
AUUCCAGCUCCAAUAGCGUAUAUUAAAGUUGCUGCAGUUAAAGAGCUCGUAGUUGGAUCUCGGGUGCAGGCUUGCGGUCUGUCUCGCGGCGGACACUGCUCGUCCUGGCCUCCACGCCGGCGUACCGUCCCUUGGUGCUCUUGACUGAGUGUCUCGGGCGGCCGGAACGUUUACUUUGAAGAAAUUAGAGUGCUCAAAGCAGGCCUUGGCCGCCUGCAUAAUGGUGCAUGGAAUAAUGGAAUAGGACCUCGGUUCUAUUUUGCUGGUUUUCGGAGCUCGAGGUAAUGAUUAAUAGGGACUGACGGGGGCAUUCGUAUUGCGGCGCUAGAGGUGAAAUUCUUGGACCGUCGCAAGACGAACUACAGCGAAAGCAUUUGCCAAGCAUGUUUUCACCA